UAACAUUCCCUAAUAAAGUUUUGUUCUCAGGUGUAGAAACAAACAAUACAGAAUCAACACUUUUAGGUAACACAUUUAAAUUUUUAGUAAAAGCAUGUGAAACCAUAACAUGUAAAGCACCAGUAUCAAUCAAAACAUGUGCAAGGUAGUUGCAGAUAAUAUAUGUACCCUAUAUCACUUCUGGAUUGGCUUCAGUAUUCUGCUGGGUGAGUGUGUAGACUCUGUCCUAUACUGCAAAUUUGGUCUGAUUUUGAUUCCUUAGGCACUCUCUCACGUAGUGCUGGGUACUCUCGUAUAUACGACAGGUUUUAUUAAGGCAAUAAGAAGGUUAUUCUCCAUGAUCCUUACCAUAAUACUGAUAAAUCUUGCCUCGUCCUACUAUCAAGGCUUGGGGAGGAGCCUG
rnacentral:lncRNA from 1 species